AUGAAGCUGUGGAACACGACUCUGGAGGCCAACUCAAAGCCAAUCGCGCAGGUGAGCAUCAGAUGUGGCAUAUAUCAAGGAGAUGCUCUGUCCCCCCUGCUGUUCUGCAUAGGCCUAAACCCCCUCAGCCAGAUCAUCACCAAGAGUGGCUAUGGGUACCAGUUCCGGAGUGGAACAACCGUCAGCCACCUCCUCUACAUGGACGACAUCAAGCUGUAUGCCAAGAACGAGUGUGACAUCGACUCCCUGAUUCACCUCACUAGGAUCUACAGCAAAGACAUCGGGAUGUCAUUCGGGCUAGACAAAUGUGGGCGGAUGAUAUCUAGAAGGGGAAAGGUGAUCGCAACUGACGGGGUUGAACUACCUGAAGGGAACAUCACAGAUGUGCAGGACAGUUACAAAUACCUGGGGAUCCCACAGGCAAAUGGUAACCACGAGGAGGCAGCUAGGAGGUCAGCCACAGCCAAAUACCUGCAGAGGUUAAGACAGGUCCUGAAAAGUCAGCUGAAUGGUAAGCACAAGAUCCAGGCCAUAAACACCUACGCCCUGCCAGUAAUCAGAUACCCUGCUGGCAUAAUACCCUGGCCACUGGAAGAGAUACAAGCCACUGACAUCAAGACAAGGAAGCUACUCACCAUGCACGGAGGGUUUCACCCUAAGUCCAGUGUCCUGAGGCUGUACACAAAGCGAAAGGAAGGGAGCCGAGGACUAGUAAGUGUCCGAACUACUGUCCAGGAGGAAACAACAAGCCUCCAAAAAUACAUCAAGAAGAUGGCCCCCACUGAUCCACUGCUGAGUGAAUGCCUCAGGCAACAAAAGCCCACCAAGGAGGAGGAACCUGAGGGGCUAUCAUGGAAGGACAAGCCCAUGCAUGGAAUGUACCACCCACAAAUUGAGGAAGUGGCUGAUAUCGAGAAAACAUACCAGUGGCUGACAAAGGCCGGACUGAAAGACAGCACAGAGGCACUAACCAUGGCUGCACAAGAACAGGCCCUGAGCACCAGAGCAAUAGAGGCCAGGGUCUACCAUACCAGACAAGACCCCAGGUGCAGACUGUGUGGAGAUGCCCCUGAGACAGUCCAGCACAUCACAGCAGGGUGCAAGAUGCUGGCAGGCAAGGCAUACAUGGAACGGCAUAACCAGGUGGCUGGCAUAGUAUACAGAAACAUCUGCACUGAGUAUGGGCUGGAGGUCCCAGGGACCAGGUGGGAGACACCUCCGAAAGUGGUGGAGAACGAGCAGGCCAAGAUCCUGUGGGACUUCCAGAUCCAGACUGACAAGAUGGUGGUGGCCAACCAGCCUGACAUAGUGGUGGUGGAUAAACACCGGAAGACAGUGGUGGUGAUAGAUGUAGCAAUCCCGAGUGAUAGCAACAUCAGGAAGAAGGAACACGAGAAGCUGGAGAAGUACCAAGGGCUGAAGGAGGAGAUGGAGAGAAUGUGGGGGAUGAAGGCAACAGUGGUCCCAGUGGUGAUCGGGACACGAGGGGCAGUAACAUCCAACCUGAGUAGAUGGCUCCAACAGAUACCAGGAACCACACCAGAGAUCUCUGUCCAGAAGAGCGCAGUCCUAGGAACAGCUAAGAUCCUGCGCAGAACCCUCAGACUCCCAGGCCUCUGGUAG
ensembl:lncRNA